GCAUGUGUGUGUGUGUGUGUAUCUAUCUAUCUAUCUAUAUAUAUAUAUAUAUAUAUAUAUAUAUAUAUAGAUACAUACACACACACACACGCGGCGUGUGU